GGCCCGUACAUGGAGUCAUUCAGUGGCUGGGGCCAUAAAUAAGGGCCAUGCCAGCGGCUAAGCACUGCUUAUUCUACAAGGACACAAGGACUUUGGAGCGCAGACAAAAUGCCUGGAACAAAAGGUAACAAGUCGGACAAGAAAUCCACCACCAAGCAAACUCAGAGUCCUAAGGAGCAGCCGAAGAAAGGUGAUCAAAAAGGAGAUGACGCCAAAAAGCAAGGAGGACAGCCGAAGGGAGAGGAGCAGUAACUUCCAGGCCUUCGUGAAGCUGGCUCUGGAGACUCUCCUGGGCUCUUGUCGACGCAAGCAUGGGGGCCCCCGGGGUAGGCAGGGCUGAGGUUUGCUCCUCCCACCACCCAACCAAUCACCAGCAGCCACUUGACCGUCGCUAGACAAAGUUUGGCCUAAGCAGCAGUAGUCUGUCCCUUCUGUACCUCCUCACAUGGGUCUCAAGUUUGAAUAACACUGGUGAUUUGCUCAUUGGAAGUUGGGCCAACAUAAAGACUCCAGAGAGUCUGUGACCCCGCCCUCAUCUGUUCAUUUGACUCCGCCCAUGUCAUAGAUCUCAGCUUUGCUGUACAUGAACUGAUUUACAAAUAAACAUGAUUUCAUAAACUUGCCAUAA